GCUGGAUGCUAGGUGUGGGGCCGAAUAGGCUCUGUGCCGCAGCUAACGCGAUAAGCAUCCCGCCUGGGGAGUACGGCCGCAAGGCUAAAACUCAAACGAAUUGACGGGGCCCCGCACAAGCAGCGGAGCGUGUGGUUUAAUUCGAUGUUACACGAAGAACCUUACCUGGGAUUGACAUGGAGGUGGUAGGGAGGCGAAAGCUGACCGACUCUUCGGAGAGCCUUCACAGGUGCUGCAUGGCUGUCGUCAG
rnacentral:rRNA from 1 species